CGCGUAGGCGGCCCGAUAAGUCCGCUCUGAAAGUCAAAGGCUCAACCUUUGAAAGCGGGUGGAUACUGUCGGGCUAGAGUCCGGAAGAGGCGAGUGGAAUUCCUGGUGUAGCGGUGGAAUGCGCAGAUAUCAGGAGGAACACCAACGGCGAAGGCAGCUCGCUGGGACGGUACUGACGCUGAGGCGCGAAAGCGUGGGGAGCGAACA
rnacentral:rRNA from 1 species